rnacentral:lncRNA from 1 species
AUAAGUAAGGGGGAAAGUAACCAAUUUUUUGUUCUUUACUCCGGUAUUUCCGCUGAUAUAGAUUUAUAUCGGAGAUACAAAUCCUUGAUCGGAGCACUCCCGCUUUGGAUAAGUAGGUUUCAUGCUGAAACAAAUAUUCUCACAGAUAUUUACAAAGUGUGCUGGGGUGCUUUUAUGUUUAAAAUCGUUAUAUAGAGGUUAGACUGUGAUUUUAAAAACAAAUGUUGAUAUCUUUUUAUAAUAUUUACAAAAAAAAAAAAACGGUGCGGGAAAUGGACAUGAUUACAUUUCCGGAUGCGGUAAGCGGGAAUAUAAAAAAAAUAAAAAAAUUCUGUUUUGUAAAAAAUAGGUGCGGGCGGGUCCGUCGAACAAGGAAUCAAAUUGGUGUGGCCU